GGGAACGUACCCUUUACUACGGAACAACUCCGGGAAACUGGAGCUAAUACCGUAUGUGCCCUUCGGGGGAAAGAUUUAUCGGUAAAGGAUCGGCCCGCGUUGGAUUAGCUAGUUGGUGGGGUAAAGGCCUACCAAGGCGACGAUCCAUAGCUGGUCUGAGAGGAUGAUCAGCCACAUUGGGACUGAGACACGGCCCAAACUCCUACGGGAGGCAGCAGUGGGGAAUAUUGGACAAUGGGCGCAAGCCUGAUCCAGCCAUGCCGCGUGUGUGAUGAAGGCCUUAGGGUUGUAAAGCACUUUCACCGGAGAAGAUAAUGACGGUAUCCGGAGAAGAAGCCCCGGCUAACUUCGUGCCAGCAGCCGCGGUAAUACGAAGGGGGCUAGCGUUGUUCGGAAUUACUGGGCGUAAAGCGCACGUAGGCGGAUAUUUAAGUCAGGGGUGAAAUCCCAGAGCUCAACUCUGGAACUGCCUUUGAUACUGGGUAUCUUGAGUAUGGACGAGGUAAGUGGAAUUGCGAGU
rnacentral:rRNA from 1 species